rnacentral:rRNA from 1 species
UACGUAGGGGGCAAGCGUUGUCCGGAUUUAUUGGGCGUAAAGAGCGUGUAGGCGGCCAGAUAGGUCCGUUGUGAAAACUGGAGGCUUAACCUCCAGCUGUCGAUGGAAACCAUCUGGCUAGAGUCCGGAAGAGGAGAGUGGAAUUCCUGGUGUAGCGGUGAAAUGCGCAGAUAUCAGGAAGAACACCCGUGGCGAAGGCGGCUCUCUGGUACGUGACUGACGCUGAGACGCGAAAGCGUGGGGAGCAAACAGG